rnacentral:rRNA from 1 species
AGCGGAAUUCCUAGUGUAGCGGUGAAAUGCGUAGAUAUUAGGAGGAACACCAGUGGCGAAGGCGGCUUGCUGGGCUUUUACUGACGCUGAGGCUCGAAAGCGUGGGGAGCAAACAGGAUUAGAUACCCUGGUAGUCCACGCCGUAAACGAUGAUUACUAGGUGUGGGGGGAUUGACCCCUUCCGUGCCGGAGUAAACACAAUAAGUAAUCCACCUGGGGAGUACGACCGCAAGGUUGAAACUCAAAGGAAUUGACGGGGGCCCGCACAAGCAGUGGAGUAUGUGGUUUAAUUCGACGCAACGCGAAGAACCUUACCAGGUCUUGACAUCAAGUGACCGCCUAAGAGAUUAGGCUUUCCCUUCGGGGACACAAAGACAGGUGGUGCAUGGUUGUCGUCAGCUCGUGUCGUGAGAUGUUGGGUUAAGUCCCGCAACGAGCGCAACCCUUAUCAUUAGUUGCUACGCAAGAGCACUCUAAUGAGACUGCCGUUGACAAAACGGAGGAAGGUGGGGAUGACGUCAAAUCAUCAUGCCCUUUAUGACCUGGGCUACACACGUACUACAAUGGCGUUUAACAAAGAGAAGCAAAGCCGCGAGGCAGAGCAAAUCUCCAAAAAACGUCUCAGUUCGGAUUGUAGGCUGCAACUCGCCUACAUGAAGUCGGAAUUGCUAGUAAUCGUAGGUCAGCAUACUACGGUGAAUACGUUCCCGGGCCUUGUACACACCGCCCGUCAAACCAUGAGAGUUGGCAACACCCGAAGUCGGUAGUCUAACCGCAAGGAGGACGCCGCCGAAGGUGGGGUUGAUGAUUAGGGUUAAGUCGUAACAAGGUAGCCGUAUCGGAAGGUGCGGCUG